rnacentral:rRNA from 1 species
AGAGUUUGAUCCUGGCUCAGGAUGAACGCUGGCGGCGUGCCUUAGGCAUGCAAGUCGAAUGGGGUGAAGUAUGCGCAAGCUUAACUUCAUCCAAUGGCGGACGGGUGAGUAACACGUAGGAAUCUACCCUAAAGCGGGGUAUAGCUCGUCGAAAGACGGGGUAAUCCCCCAUGUGAUACGCACAGUAAUGUAUGUAUCAAAGAAAUUAACUUUUCACUUUAGGAGGAGCCUGCGGCCUAUCAGCUAGUUGGCAGGGUAAAAGCCUACCAAGGCGAUGACGGGUAGGGGGUGUGAGAGCAUGACCCCCCACAAGGGCACUGAGAUACGGGCCCUACAUCUACGGAUGGCAGCAACCGGGAAUAGUUGGCAAUGGACGAAAGUCUGACCACGCGACGCCGCGUGCGGGAUGAAGGCCCUCGGGUCGUAAACCGCUUUUGCUGGGGAGGAAGCCCCGAUUUAUCGGGGUUGACAGUACCCAGAGAAUAAGCACCUGCAAACUACGUGCCAGCAGCCGCGGUGAUACGUAGGGUGCGAGCGUUAUCCGGAUUUACUGGGCGUAAAGAGUCACGUAGGCUGUUUAUUGCAUCUUGUCUAAAAGGCCAAGGCUUAACUUUGGUUUGGGACAAGAGAUGAAUAAACUGGAAGAAGGUUGGGGGCUUCGGAAUUGUUGGUGAAGCAGUGAAAUGCGUUGAUAUCAACAAGAACACCAAUGGCGAAGGCAGAAGCCUAAUCCUUUCUUGACGCUGAAGCACGAAAGCUAGGGUAGCGAAGCAGAUUAGAGACCUGCGUAGUCCUAGCCCUAAACUAUGCUCGCUAGAUACCCCUUCGCUAAGAGUACAAAUAAAUCUUGUAUUUUUAGCGAUGGGGUGUCGCAGCUAACGCAUUAAGCGAGCCGCCUGGGGAGUACGAGCGCAAGCUUAAAACUCAAAGGAAUUGACGGGGAAGCGCACAAGCAGUGGAGCGUGUGGUUUAAUUCGAGACAAAACGAAGGACCUCACCUGGGUUUGACAUGUCUCUGCAAGCCCACAGAAAUGUGGGACCUUAGAGGGUGAGACAAAGCUGCUGCAUGGCUGUCGUCAGUUCGUGCCGUGAGGUGUUGGCUUAAGUGCCAAAACGAGCGCAACCCCCAUCCAAUGUUAAUUUUUCAUUGGAGACUGCCUUGGCUUUUGUCAGGGAGGAAGGAGGGGAUGAUGUCAAGUCAGCACGGCGCCUAUGCCCAGGGCCACACACACACUACAAUGGCGAAAAACAACGAGUCGCUAGACGGUAACGUUAAGCUAAUCUCUGAAAUUUCGCCUCAGUUCAGAUUGGGGUCUGCAACCCGACCCCAUGAAGUCGGAAUUGCUAGUAAUCGCGCAUCAGCAUGGCGCGGUGAAUACGUUCUCGCUUCUUGUACACACCGCCCGUCAAGCCAACAAAGUCGGGGGUGGCCGACAUCCGCGUAGCGGACUAAGCCAAAACCGGCGAUGGGGACUAAGUCGUAACAAGGUAUCCUUAGCCGAAGCUGAGGAUG